AACGUAAAGGAACGUUAACAAAAAAAAAAAACAACAAUUAUUAACUGGCAUUAUUGGAAGCAUAAAAAUUAAUGUCCAUAAGUUUGUCUCAUAUUUAUUUUAAUUUUUUAUACUCAUUUUCAUCACUCGCAUGAAACUCCAAUUGGAAUUCAAGAAAUAUGGAUGUUGAGACUUGAGAGCUUAAUGAGUGUAAGUGGGUAAACCUUCACUAACAAUUCCCUUGUCAAACAGUACAAGGAACUUAGGAUGUUAACCCCCACUCAUAUUACUCCCUUUGACUUUCUCCUACCCAAUUCCAUGCAGUCUGUACGAUUUAUCACUGAAUAAAUAAUAAAAGUUAAAAGAAUUGCAACAUUAGUUAGCACGCAGCUAGCUGGUGUUUCCAGAAUCUUUUAUGCAAAUCCAAACGCUGGGAUUUUUGCUCCUGCAUUUCUGAAUUUUCCCUUGAGCUGGUAAUGGUUGAACCACAGUUUGUUAACUUGUUGACUUAUUUGACCACAGUAAAUACCAAUUAACUCCCAGUAUGACCAAAAUAGUGAAUAAAUGGUCACCCAGACUGAAAGUCAACCGGUUUGCCAUUUUCUAGUCCAGUUCUAACAACACUGUUUAUACACAUUCUUUCCAAUAGCAGCCAUUACAUGAUUUUAACACCCAUUAAAUAAUUACUACCUAGUUCCUACUAGAAGUGUGCGUGUUUUUUGGUAAUGGCUGCAAUGGCCAUAAUGGCUGUAAUGGCCAUAAUGGCUGUUACACAUAUAAAAAGGCCAGUUUCUUUGGUUACCUGACAAGGUUGCAUUCCCCCACUUCUCCAGCAAGGCAGCCACCAUUUUCACAAUUUCAGCCUAAAUUCUUCAACACUUUUACUACACGAAAUUUAAGCUUAAUGUUACUUAGUACCUAAUUAUACCCGCCCAAAAUGGUAUGCAAGGGUAGCGGGUGUAAACGAGCCGAGCUUUAAAGAGCUCAGACUCAACUUAUUCAACUUUCAUUGAGCUUUGACUCAUUUAGAUUUUAUUUGACUCGAGCUCGGUUUAAGCUUGACUCACAUUUAGCCCGUUUAUCAAGCUCAUGAGCUAGGCUCACAACUUGAGUUUGACUCAUCAAGUUUAAUUAUUAAUUAUUAUCCAAACACA
rnacentral:misc_RNA from 1 species